AGUCCUACGGGGGGCAGCAGUGAGGAAUAUUGGUCAAUGGGCGCGAGCCUGAACCAGCCAAGUCGCGUGAGGGAGGACGGCCCUACGGGUUGUAAACCUCUCUUGCCGGGGAGCAACGGGCGUCACGUGUGGCGCCACUGAGAGUACCCGGAGAAAAAGCAUCGGCUAACUCCGUGCCAGCAGCCGCGGUAAUACGGAGGAUGCGAGCGUUAUCAGGAUUUACUGGGUGUAAAGGGAGCGCAGGCGGCACGGCAAGCCUGAUGUGAAAGCCCGCGGCCCAACCGCGGGACUGCAUUGGGAACUAC
rnacentral:rRNA from 1 species